GACGAACGCUGGCGGCGUGCUUAACACAUGCAAGUCGAACGGAAAGGCCCUUCUUUUGUUGGGUGCUCGAGUGGCGAACGGGUGAGUAACACGUGAGUAACCUUCCCUUGACUUUUGGAUAACUUCAGGAAACUGGGGCUAAUACCGGAUAGUAGCUCCUGCUGCAUGGUGGGGGUUGGAAAGUUUCGGCGGUUGGGGAUGGACUCGCGGCUUAUCAGCUUGUUGGUGGGGUGGUGGCUUACCAAGGCUUUGACGGGUAGCCGGCCUGAGAGGGUGACCGGCCACAAUGGGACUGAGAUACGGCCCAGACUCCUACGGGAGGCAGCAGUGGGGAAUAUUGCACAAUGGGCGGAAGCCUGAUGCAGCAACGCCGCGUGAGGGAUGACGGCCUUCGGGUUGUAAACCGCUUUCGCCUGUGACGAAGCGUGAGUGACGGUAAUGGGUAAAGAAGCACCGGCUAACUACGUG
rnacentral:rRNA from 1 species